rnacentral:misc_RNA from 1 species
CCAGAGCUAUCUCGCGAAGUUGAGCGCUCACGCUUAUCGGCUGUUGAUAAAGACAGAAAGACUGUCUGUUAGCGGUUUAACCGGUUAUAAUGCCGGCCGCUUUCGAUAAUCAUCAAUGACAAACAUUCGAAUGAAGUUUGGUUCGAGUUUUUCUCAUUGGCGAUUGAGCCAGUCAGAGCGGUACGAAAGUAUCGGCUGUCGUUCUUUAACAAUCUGGAAGAAGUAAGUAAUUUGGAUAGCGGAAGCGUCUAUGAGAUGGACGUGAAAACUAUCCGGGUUGUGAUUGUAUCGAUGUAUCUCAAGAUGAUUCGAACUCUAUGUUUGACUCAAUUGGAAUACGGCACAAAUGCGAGAACUCAACCUGUAACGACUGUCGAGAGACAGACUCGUUAUAG